UACGGGGGGAGCAAGCGUUGUUCGGAUUUACUGGGCGUAAAGGGCGCGUAGGCGGCCUCUGCAAGUCAAUUGUGAAAUCUCCGGGCUUAACUCGGAAAGGUCAACUGAUACUGCAGGGCUAGAGUGCGGAAGGGGCAACUGGAAUUCUCGGUGUAGCGGUGAAAUGCGUAGAUAUCGAGAGGAACACCUGAGGUGAAGACGGGUUGCUGGGCCGACACUGACGCUGACAGCGCGAAAGCCAGGGGAGCAAACGGG
rnacentral:rRNA from 1 species